rnacentral:rRNA from 1 species
AUUGAACGCUGGCGGCAGGCCUAACACAUGCAAGUCGAGCGGCAGCACAGAGGAACUUGUUCCUUGGGUGGCGAGCGGCGGACGGGUGAGUAAUGCCUGGGAAAUUGCCCUGAUGUGGGGGAUAACCAUUGGAAACGAUGGCUAAUACCGCAUGAUGUUGUUUUCUAUAAACGAAGAUAACCAAAGAGGGGGACCGUAAGGCCUCUCGCGUCAGGAUAUGCCCAGGUGGGAUUAGCUAGUUGGUGAGGUAAUGGCUCACCAAGGCGACGAUCCCUAGCUGGUCUGAGAGGAUGAUCAGCCACACUGGAACUGAGACACGGUCCAGACUCCUACGGGAGGCAGCAGUGGGGAAUAUUGCACAAUGGGCGCAAGCCUGAUGCAGCCAUGCCGCGUGUAUGAAGAAGGCCUUCGUGUUGUAAAGUACUUUCAGUCGUGAGGAAGGUUGUAGCGUUAAUAGCGUUAUGAUUUGACGUUAGCGACAGAAGAAGCACCGGCUAACUCCGUGCCAGCAGCCGCUGUAAUAC